CUUUUUACACUGUGGCAAAUUGGACAGUAUGGCCAGUGGGAUAUAGUGAAAGAGAUAUUAUGUAACCUCAAAGAUUAGAUUCCAGAUGACAACGAAACAUCAGUCUUGGUUGCUUUGUCAGUCUCUGACUCCUGUGGACACUCCACACCGGAGAAGCCAGGUGCCACUUGUUAAGGACUUUCAGGCAUCUCUGGAAAACCAUACAGCAAGGAACUGAGACAUCUAGUCAACAACCACCAAGUUGCAGAUGCUACCAUGAUGCCAUUCUGACUUCCCUAGGCACAUGACCUCACUAGUGUGUCCUAGAACCCCACCUCCCCAGAGCCCUACCCCACUAUAGGAAAAUAGCAACAGGCUGAUUGUAUGGAUCCAUCUGUCAAUGCCUGUGUUCAUCAGAGAAGCAAUUACAGAAGCAAGACCUCACACCUUCUGCAUCCCAUGAAGAUCUGUGGUCCAUACUCCCAGAGGGGUAAAGAAUAGGGAACCUUCUAAUGGAAGAGAAGGGAUUAUGGAACUCCAGUGGUGGGAAUUAUAUGGAAUUGUACCCCCUCUUAUCCUACAAUCUUGUCAAUCACUACUAAAUCAAUAAUACAAAAAUUAAAAAUAAAUAAAAUUUUAAAAAUCUCA